UAAGACACUACUUUUUCUUCUCGCUUUUAUUCUUUUGUCUCAACGUUUGCUUUUAUUACUUUUAAGUAUGUACGCAGGGAGGAGUGUGCCCCCAAGAAUGUGCCCUCAGCUCAGGACAGUGCCCUAUCUCUGGAGUUGCAGUUACUUGGGUCCUGGAAGCCAAAACCUGGGUCCUCGGAAUUUGCACUGUCAUGCUCUGAAUGCCACCGCCCCCAAGCUCUGCAAACAAGAUCAGCCUUGAGUGAAAUUUGACAGAAGAUGUCCCCACAGUUUGCUCUGUGGAAGUGUAUACCCCAUGGGAUCCUCCUUGCCUCUCUCUUGGUAGUCAGCUGUGGCCAAUAUGAUGAUGGUAAGUCUGCCUUUACUCUGAUCUCUGUUAUUAAACCAGGCCUCUUUUCAGUAGUGGAUAUCGUUGUGUAGUUAUUUUCAAAGGUUAGAAGUUCUUUGUAAUAACCAAAGUGGAGGAUCUUACAAAAGCGGCCGUAGAUACGUUUGAUUCACUAUCAAGACUGUAGUAUGUAGAAAAUCCAACAUAAAACCUCUGUUUUAAUACUUACUAAGAAAGUGCUAAACUGCUCUGAAAAUUAUUAAGUUCUGCUUAAUGCCUGUGAGUGAACACUGAUAGUAGUCUCCAAUACAACCAGCAAUGCAAUGGUCUACCAUGAGUCAAAAAUCUCUAACAUGGACAGUAGGAAAAGCUGUAAGUGGCUUGAGGACCAGGGCCACCAUUAAACAUUGCUUUAUUAGAUUCCUCAUGAAUUUGUUCAGGAAGAGAAAAUGUCAAAUUCUUGGUAAUUGACUUCUUAAGUCAUUAUAAAAAAGCAAAUCAACUUAUUU